AUCCUUUCAGAGUCGCACCUGGUGUGUUUCCAGUACUCUACUAGUCUUGACUAUGGGAGGGAGAGUCAAGCAGAGGCUUACCCAUUCCAUUCCCAGCUUGGGCAGCAGCUAGUGAGCGGAAGACAAUCUGCUACAAGU